UCCAAAGAUUAAGCCAUGCAGCUUCAGACAACAGCUGUUUCAGUUGAAUCUGCGUAAGGCUCCGUAUAUCUGUUAUAACCUGCUGUAUUCCUUUGACACGCGGAAUAACGGUGGAAACCCUAUCGUAUAAUACGUUUUAAUAAAAUACAUGCAAAGUACCCAGGGGUGAGGAAGGACAACGCCCUCAGUAAUGCUCUUUAAAUGCAAGGGCCCCCCAUGGCCAAAACCAUGGUCUCACGCUUCACAUGAGCCUAUGUGGAGAUGUGAGAAGCGUCCGGUGGGCGGGUGAGUAUGGGGGUGGAAGAAAAUCUCACUAUUGGGGAAACGCUGAGGACUCCCGAGCUUACCCAUACCAACAGGGGGUUAGAGGAACAAGGUAAUAAUCGCGGGAUUCGUCCUGGUCAUCGGUUGCCCCCCCGGCACGAAGCUGGGGUCGUUCCGCCCCGAACUGUCUCGAUCGUGAGAGACCGGGAGACGUCCUAAUGGGUGGAAAACACUCAUAUCUACAGUGGGUUUCAGCCUCAUCAACUAGAUGGUUGGGCAUUGGCCAACUAUGGUUGUAACGGGUGCAGAGGAUUGGGGUUUGAUCCUGGAGAGGUAGCCUGAGAGACAGCUUCCACUUCUAAGGAAGGCAGCAGGCGCGAAACGUUCUCAAUGAUUGUACCAGAUUGAAGACGUUAAGGGACAUAGCAAUACCUUGCCGAAAAGGUGAGGUAAUUGAAAUGAGAGAGGUUUAAAACACCCGAUUGAGUAACAAUUGGAGGACAA
rnacentral:rRNA from 1 species